UACGAAGGGUGCAAGCGUUACUCGGAAUUACUGGGCGUAAAGCGUGCGUAGGCGGUUUGUUAAGUCUGUCGUGAAAGCCCCGGGCUCAACCUGGGAAUGGCGAUGGAUACUGGCGAGCUAGAGUACGGUAGAGGAGAGUGGAAUUCCCGGUGUAGCAGUGAAAUGCGUAGAGAUCGGGAGGAACAUCAGUUGCGAAGGCGGCUCUCUGGGACGGUACUGACGCUGAGACGCGAAAGCGUGGGGAGCGAACAGGAUUAGAAACCCG
rnacentral:rRNA from 1 species